AUAAUAUCACAAAAAAAUAAUCAAAAAUUUACGUGACUAUAUAACGAAAUUUCGUGAGACUGGGCUGUUUAGAGCAACGUUUAAACCCUUUGGUGUAUAUGCCCCUAAGUGUAUUAUUUUUUUUCAGUUACAUCAUCUUCACACAUUAAAUCUACAGUUUAAUUGUGCCCCCUACCUGUACCGCCACUUUUAUCUUUCAAUAUAUAUAUAUUAAUAUUGUGGUAUUAUUAACAAAUGACUUAUCUGUGAGCUUCAUUAUUUUAAAAAAAAUUGUGUGUGCUCAUAAUCUUUAAUGAAAAAUGCAAAUCUCCUCCCCUCCUCAAAACGAUCUCUCUUCACUUCCAGUCAUAAGUAUGGCAGGUGGGCGGGGUCCGGGAGAAGAUUGCAGCGAUUAGCAAUUAGCAACACGACCCAACUUCAAACGAUCCAAUCAGAUCUCGAUGGACAAAUUCAAAUCCAGCCCUGCCUUAUUUCAUUUCAGAAGCCGUUUCAUUCGGAUAUACCUCACCACGGGGAAAAUAAGGCAAUCGCUACUUCCGUUUCAUGGCGACUUUAAUAUGUACUGUAGUAUGCGAAGAUUUAUGAAAUGAAAGGUCUACUGCUACACAGAGAUUUCUCAGUAUACUUAGAUGAACACUUUUCUAUCCCCACAGACGCUGAGAUGCUGGCAAGUUCAAAAAGUUAAUAAAUUAAAAAUACCUGAAAAAUGUACCCCAGCGUUAUCUCGUCAAUUAAGAAAAAAAGCUUCCCUGCCUAUGACGAGUUUUUCUGGCAAUCCGCAAUACUGCUAUUAUCUUCCGCAACUUAUAAAACCCGGAAGUAUCACCCUAGGGCAAACAGCUGUAUGUCCGUGUAUGUUUUGACGAUCGUUCUGAAUCUGAUCUCUAUCUAAGUCCUUCACAAAAAUGGAAUUGUCUCAGCCUUUUGCUCAAAAUUCUAGGAUGAAGGUAGGAUGAUUUUUUUUGAAAGCAGAGGGGCUGUUCUUUCAUUUGAUAUAUUGUAUUAGAAGAACAUUUUCUGGGCAUUAAACUUUUGUGAAAAUCUGAAAAAUUCUGGCGCUGGCUGGCACCUUAAAAAGAAAUGCUGGCGGGGAAAGAGUUAAUAUGAAAAAAUCAUAAAGCCUCAGGGAUCAGCUCAUUCAGUUAGUAAAUAUAUAUAUAUUUUUAAAAUCUUUGUUUAACCAUUUUUAUUUGGUAGCCAUGCGUACAACUAUUCAUUUAGUAUAUUUCGUUCCACUCCUAAUAUAUCGAUACAUUUACUCUAAAUAGUGCCAAUCUUAAGUGCCUUCACCUUUUCUUUAAUCUGUAUUGAUGGGAGAGGAAGACAUUUCUCAUCUUCAAUAAAUCGAAUUAAAUGAAGCCAUUAUACUAUUUCCUAAUCAUGUUGUACUUGAUCUGAUAAUAAACACUGUUGCCCAACAAAUAGAGGCCGCGUUGAACCCAGUGGUAUCAGUUCACCUAAAGCCAAAGUAUGGCAGACUCUGGUGACCUCCUUAAAUCUUACUUCCAUGACGUGAGAGUGAUUCAUUCCUGGCCUUAUCAUACAUGCUGCUUCAGCAAAUAUGCUCAAGUAUGAAAACACAAUACACACAAUACGCUUUAAAUAAUGUAUUGAUGAAAACAUCAUGGAAGCAAUAUGACAAAUUGAUAUGCAUGGCAAAUUCGUGCAAAGGCAGAACAUUUGCACCAGCCUUAAAAUACAAUAAGUGCAACAAGUCCAAAGAUAAAUCACACAUAUAUUUUUUCAUAGCAAGCAAAUUAGACAGCUAUAUUUAGCUAUUAUAAAAACAUGUUAAAAGCUAAGUCUGUAUGAUAACCUUGACUUACUCAUACUCAUUACUGCUUGUGCCACUGAAGACAUUGAAUUGUGUGUCCCUUUAUUUUUUAUUUUAGUGGUCCAAGCAAACCAUCAGUGAGCAGAUUAAGUGUUAAUAUUGUUUGCCAACAAGGAACGCUAUUUGCACUACUGUCUGCAAUAAAAUAUCAUUUUGCAUUGACCUGAGCAGGCAGCCACGGUAUGGCAGCCGCCACCCCCUGCCAUACCCAAUUGACGCCCCUGGUUGAACGCACUUCACUUGGCAUGUUGACUGAUGCAGAGUCCAUGAAUCCUGAAUUAAAUUGGAUCUUGAUUAAUCUGAAAUGUCCUUUCCUGUUUCAGAGCAAUACGAAUCUAAUGAAACCCAAGCACUGCUCAAAUAAAGCCAUACAUCCCACCCAGAACCACUGGAUGGGUGAUGGGUGAGAAAAAAAUUACUGCAGCGUGAGAAAGUCGUAGCAGGGAAUGAGAAAGACCAGGAGAUGAAGGAGAAAACGCAUAGCCCGGGCUGUGCUGCAUUAGGCCUGUCCUUUAGUGUGCGUAGGAAAAUAUUGCAGGGAUGAGAUCCCUGUGUCGCCUCCGUGCCUUCAGCUCAUUGCGCACACGGGUCAAGCCCAGAGUAAAUCAGCCUGUGCUCCCCAGGCCCAAUUUCCCCCGAGAGCUCCAUCCUAGGCCCACUCAAUUCAAGUAGGCUGUCCGACUUUCAAAAAGAAAAUCAAGGAGACUCCGCCGCUGUGGACAGCCUUCCUCUCAGCAGAGUAUAAUGGAAUUUACUGAACUUUUCUGUUUAUCUGUCGCAGGAAAUGCACAUUGUAUUUUCUCUCUCUCUCGCUUUUAUAGAACACAAGCCAAUUGAGUUGCAACGUGCCCCACACCUUAACGCGCGGAGGAGAGUGAAAACGUUAUCAUUGUGGCUUGGGGAAUUGAUGUUUGCGCACCUGCAGAGCUAUGAGGUGUGCGGAUGAUGGCUGCCGUUCGGGCACGCUUCCAGCGUUGCGCCGCCGCGGUGACUAAGCACCCUCCUCUCGCUCUCUCGCCCUCCUCCAUGCAUACCCUAAUGUGAAUAAUGUUUCUCCUCAAACUCCUCUGUUAUAAAUGGAGUGCCACUCCGCACAAUGGCAAAGUCAGGGCUCGUAUUGAUUAACUCUCGUCAUCGACUCCCACUUCCAUGAUUUAUGAUUGUCUGUUAUUUUUGCAUUAGCAAUCAAAUUCAUCUUGUCUUUUUUUACUAGGGUCUGGCUGAGCAAACAGUAAACAUUUUUAGCUUGCAUGGCAAUGCUCGCAGUGCUGGUCCAUUAAACAUGCUGCUUUCAAAGACUGCUCCCGAAGGGCCCUCAAGGGCCAUUCAAGGGCCAAAAUAGUACAAAAAGUACAUUUGACACCCAGCUCUUUAGCCUGUGGCUUGAAGCGAUAAUAACAGCUGUGAGUGAGGGGUGUCCGGGUGAAGGAGGGUCCCUCCUUGUAAUGGGCGAGGGCUGUCUGAUCCCGUGGACCCUCGGUUCCAGCUUCAUUGAGAUUCCAUUAGGAACGCGAGAGUGUGCUGCCCCCCCGGUUCGGCUGACACUUCCGCGGGAUCACGACAAAUUGGCUCUGUCAUAGUGGACAAUUUUGAGAUGAGAAGUAAAUUAAACAUGUAAUCACACAAGGAGGCUCUUUGUGAAGUUCUGGGCCCUGCGCAGCCAUCAGGGCAAUCCAUGUCUCGCUUUCUGUCUUCAUUGCCUUCAGACUGUUUGUAGGAACCAAUGUCAGAACAGAAGCAGAUGGAGUGCUGCACUUGAACCCCAGUAAUGGCUUUGAAUUGCGUUCGAAACUCUUUGCUGACGUUUGAUUUCUUGCUAUAGACUCUCUAACUUACGAUUGAGCAGGUGCAACAGGACAAUAUCAGAUGUUGGACCGUGCUUACGAUGUAUCCGGUAUUGUACUUGGCUUUUGUGCUUUAGUUCUUUCGUGAUUCAAGGCCAGAUCCUGUAAUCAAUGGCUUUACCUCGCUGGAGUGCCAGCAGCACAGCGCUGAGCGUGUUUGCGGUGAGUGGAGGAAGCAGCAGGAAAUGUUGUGGGCCGCUGAAAAAUUAAGUCCCGUCGGUGUAAUUCAGCAGCGCGCUGAUAGCAUCAGGCUUCAGUUGGCUGUAUCAGGCAGGUAUUACCACCCACCGACUGUAAUCACUAAUGAAGCCAGCAGUGAGUUUAUAACGCGCUAAAUGAUGCAGUCCACUCCAGAUAAACACAUCCUAAAUAAACGAUUUGGGUGGUAAUUGCACUCUGCCAGGGCCCAGUUAAUAGAGUCAACUCGGCUGAUGAGAGGGUUAACUUCUCCUCCGAAGGAGUCUCUCGCUGGCUCAUUGCACUCUCAUUUCUAAGGAGAUCUUGGCAUUCCCCUGGUUAUCAGUGUACUUAAAAAGAAAACCUAAUUAGACCAAAAAAGGCCCCUUUUUUCUUUUUCUCUAAUUAGGUCCUUAACAUAAUUAGCAGGUAAUGUUAAUAACCCUCUUUUAAACUCUAUUAAAAGGCUGUUUGAGAGUAAGUGGUUGAGGAGGAUGUCCUGCGUAGAGCCACGGGUCCCUCGGUGGGUGGAAGCAGGAGACCGGAGAAGCAUGCUGGGACUUUAGUUCAUCAGUGUUGGAGUGCCACUGCAUUAUAGCUCGGGCCCCACGGGGGCCUCCUCAUCAUCAGACUCGGGGCCCAGUGCAUUAAUAUGCACCCCCACCCCUUCCUUUUCAACGCCGGGUCUUCAUCCGGGCUGUCUACGAAACGGAAUGGAAGUUGGCGAUUGAGCUACGUUAACAAGAUAGUCGCUGAUGAAGUAUGGGAAGAAUUCGAAUCCACCAGGGGGCAUUGUGUCUUCAGUAACAGACAGAAUUGGGACCACUGUUGUUUAUGCCACUCCAGUGAAAUAUUUAUAUGGGUUUUGGGAAGUGCUCUGGGUUCCAGUGAGUGGUCUGUUGACUUCGACGAGGAGGAGGAGGAUGAGGAAGAACCUGCCGUCGACCAGAAGAGCCCAGUCCUCGUCUUUAAUUAAGUAUCUGAAACAUCAAUUUAAAUGUAAAUAUCGGUGGUGCAGCUCCACUCAUGCGUAAAUUAGAGCGUUGGCCCGGCACAUUGCUCUCUCUCUCUCCCAAGUCCCCGCUCACUUACUCUGACAUCUGCUCACAUCUGCUGGGCCCCGGGCUUUCCCCAACACACACACAUACACACAAUUAAAAUUGGACUCAUUCUUGUGUAAGUAUAAGCAGUUUGUAUUCACAAAUAUUGUAUAUAUUGUAUUCUUCCCUGCUUAAACCAACAUAUACAGUAUGUGAUGUGAUGUCAUAGCAUAUUGUGAUUUCUAUUGGAAGUUGAGUUGUUUUGUGCAUAGUGUGCAGAUUUAUUGAUUUUUCAGUAUGUAAAAAAAUCUGUUAUAGUAUAUACGGCAUCAAGCACACAGAAGUCAAGUGACAUCCGUAUUUAGCCUCAUAUGUAUACGCGGCCUCAGAGAGACUUCACUACCUGACUGCCAUUAUUAUUCUGAUGACACUAGUGGUUCACCAUGGAGCUGUCUCAUAACCUGUCCCAGUGAGGAAAUCACUCUCAUGGAAAUUGACAGCCCUGGGAAGUUGCAGAGCAGGACUAACCUUUGUUUUGGUGAGCACUACACCUUUCCUCUCAUUGCAUAUGGACUAAAUUGUAUUGAAUAGCAUUUGUGUCACAUUUAAAAUGUUAACAGUACAGAAUGUCAUUUGUGAAAUCGGGGCAUUUGCUCCUGAAAAUUAAUUCGGUUUACCCCCAGAUCUAGGCUGCUGUCUUCAGGCCAGUAUUAUGCUACCCUUUUGACAAAGAGUAAUAUUUAAUGAAUAAGACUAUUAAUAACGGCAGGGUCUCGAGGGGAUAUGUCUCAGUCGCGGACUAGAUUGCAUAUAUGGAAGGGGGCAUUGUUAAGGUUUGGAUUGUUUAAUGCAUCCUACGAGGGGAGGAUGUGCUGUAUUUUGAGCGGGCACCACAGUGCAGUCUUCCAGCACUGUAUAUUUAUAUUCUCUCAUAAAAAGACUUCUCUAUUGUUGCUUUCAGUGUUUUUUAAAUCACUGUGUUAUGGCAGGUGCUCUGCACAACGUAAUACCAUUUUACACCGUAGUAGCCAUUUGUCUUAUAGGUAUGUGUUUGUGUGUUUGAAAGACGGAGAGAGAAAGAAAUGAUGAGAGCCUGUGUAUUGUACACCCAAGUCUUUUAUUAUGUCCACGAGCACAUGUCUGCCUGCGCGCAUUUCCAUGUGUUCGUUCAUCUGUGUCUGGAUGACGAUAAUAAUGAUCACGUGACUCAACUUAAUGUCCCAUGAAAAUAGCAGAGAGCAGUUUAAUUAUAGACUACAGGAGAAAUGAAGCCAGUGAACUUGUUUUUUCUCCUCAUCUAUAUAUUUGACAGAAUUUCUCACUUUUAAAAAUCAAAUAGGAUGUUUAGCACAGACAAGGAAAAUACAGACUGGUUUUGUGUCACGCCAGUGUCAUGCGCUAAACAAAUUUUAGGGUGCCGUAUUCCUAUAAGUAGGUACAAAUAUCAUCUUUUCACUGUUGCAUGCAGAUGUCCUUCUCUUUCUCACAAUGGGGUAGACAUCAUUUUCUCCUUCUAAUUUUCUGCUCCGCAAUUGAUUUUGAUGACAUCUGAUUUUAAGUGGUGACAGCGUUGAGCGAUAUUAAAGCAUCCGUGCCAUAAGGCGAAAUACUCUCAUUUGGCGAUCACAUGAAUUGAAAACACUAUCUGCUGUCUAGACGUGCAUGAAAAUAUACAAUGUGAAACCGAGGCUCGCUUUUUAUUUUUAGCCUGGCUUGAGUCACAGCAUCUUGUUUAGUCACGGUAGCGGUCGCUGACCUCCGUGCGUCCUUCACACAAAAGUGAAGAGCACCUUAUAAUUGCAGCGGGCGGCAGCUUAAAACUGCCAAAUCAUAAAAGCCAGAAGAGAUCCAGUGAAUUACGAGGAAAUAUGGCCUUCCUUUACAGCAAGGGCUGUGAAUGAAGCCAUUAAAUUAUGAGCAGUUUUUAUGAUGGGCCAUUGAAAGGGGAAUGCUUGUAUAUUGAUGGUUCACAGGCUGUAUCCCUCUUUCCCUUGUGCUGGGGAAGAGCUGACUAGAGGCCCCUGUGUAACUAUUUUUCAUGCAUUUAAUAUAUUAAUUAUCCGGUAAAUGUUCCCCAGGCAGUGCUUGGGAUACUGGAGACUGACAGCUUUUCGAUGAAGCUCCCCCACCAGCCCAUCAUGCAGCAGUGUAUUACGUGGGAAAGGUCGGCUUGGGGUUAAUGUAACUUUUUAUUUGCUGAUUUUUCAUAGGCUGGGAGGGAAGUGAGGAGCAAGGCUAGUUUGGAAAAAUGAGAGAGAAUGAGUAAGAGAGUAAAAGAAAUGCUCCAGGACGACUGUGGCCGAGAAUAUCAGCCAGGAGAGCUGUUCUUCUUUUAUACUAUACUGUGGUGUUUUGACUUUUUCUUCUUCAGGAAAGGAGCCCAGCAAUAGCAAAUUGUGGAAAAUCUGUCCAGAAAAUGUCAGUUUUUUGUAUUUUACCCCAAAUUCAAAUUAAAGAAAUAUAUAUGAAGAGUUUCGUUGCAAAACGAUAACUCCGAGAUAACUCCGUUUUUUGGUUGUGCAUUCCAAUUAAUAUCAAUUCAACUGCAGUUGGUUGGUUUUGAUUUAAACCUUCAUAACUUAAAAAAUACAGCUAAGUAGCAUCAUAAAACAAAAUAAUAACAUGAUAACAUAAUAAUAAACAUGUUUUGACAAAAAAUUUAAAAACGGAGUUAUCUUAUUUUGCAACGAAACUCUUCAUAUUUAGAUCCAGAAAUAAUGAGGCACAGGCACAUUUUGUGUUAUUUUAGCUGUUUACCAAAAUGUAUUCUAGUUACAGAUAUAUAAUAAUUACUGGCUUAAUGAACACACUCUUAGCUCUUAGGGUAUUCACAUUCAAACUGGAUGAAGAAUUUAGGAAUUACAACCGUUUAAUAUGUAGCUCCCCCUUUUUAAAGGGGCCAAAAGUGAUAGUUGAUUUAAAAGCUGUUUUAUAGACAUGAAUUGUCUAUUUGUUGUGCUAAAAAGUCAGACACGCUCUAAAAGCUUUAUUUGGAGAGAUAAAACUAAUAUCAACCUGAGAAUAAGUAUAAAAAUGAUGGAGAAGGCUACAGUAGGAACAUCUCAUGAUAUCAGCAGACAACAUCUUCAUAAAAAGUGUGAUUGCAUUUCCAUACAUGGCUUAAUAAAGCGCUCGGCCGCUGGUGUUUUUUGGUAAUGUAAAGAACCCAGAAGCGUCCUGAUUCAUUUUUUAUUUCUCUGGAUGUUGUGAAGGAGUUUGUCUUUAUCAUGGGGAGGAUAAUGCGAUCAUUCAACCACUGUUAUCGUAUAUGGACGUCCAGGAUGUUUUUGUUGCUGAGCUUACAAGUGUGUUGUUUUUAGAUAGAGCCAAAUUGUUGGUAUCUCUUUGAAGGAUUUGUUGUGUUUUUGAAACCUACCCAUGGUCUGUAUCACUUGUAUAAAAGAUGUCCCUGAACCACAUGAUGUGGGUUUACAGCCACAGCUUCCAAAUGCAAAUGCCACACACACUUAGAAUCACAUUCUUUAUUUAUGAGGAAAUUAUUUAACAAAUAGACAAUUCAUGUCCAUAAAACAGCUUUUCAGUCACCUGCCCAUUACUUUUGGCCCUAUGAAAUAUUUCUAUUUUUGGUACCAUUAAGGUUUAUGACAACCAUUCUCAUUACCAUUAGGAAGAAACCUCAUUCUAAUUACCAUAAUGUGAAAAAAGAUCAUAUAUUUUGUUGCAUGUGACAGGACAAUGUUUGGCC